rnacentral:rRNA from 1 species
AGAGUUUGAUCCUGGCUCAGAUUGAACGCUGGCGGCAGGCCUAACACAUGCAAGUCGAGCGGUAGCACAGAGAGCUUGCUCUCGGGUGACGAGCGGCGGACGGGUGAGUAAUGUCUGGGAAACUGCCUGAUGGAGGGGGAUAACUACUGGAAACGGUAGCUAAUACCGCAUAAUGUCGCAAGACCAAAGUGGGGGACCUUCGGGCCUCAUGCCAUCAGAUGUGCCCAGAUGGGAUUAGCUAGUAGGUGGGGUAACGGCUCACCUAGGCGACGAUCCCUAGCUGGUCUGAGAGGAUGACCAGCCACACUGGAACUGAGACACGGUCCAGACUCCUACGGGAGGCAGCAGUGGGGAAUAUUGCACAAUGGGCGCAAGCCUGAUGCAGCCAUGCCGCGUGUGUGAAGAAGGCCUUCGGGUUGUAAAGCACUUUCAGCGGGGAGGAAGGCGUUAAGGUUAAUAACCUUAGCGAUUGACGUUACCCGCAGA